CCUACGGGAGGCAGCAGUGGGGAAUCUUGCGCAAUGGGCGAAAGCCUGACGCAGCAACGCCGCGUGCGGGAAGAAGGCUUUCGGGCUGUAAACCGCUUUCAGUAGGAACGAAACUGACGGUACCUACAGAAGAAGGAGCGGCCAACUAUGUGCCAGCAGCCGCGGUGAUACAUAGGCUCCAAGCGUUGUCCGGAUUUAUUGGGCGUAAAGAGCUCGUAGGCGGUCGAGUAAGUCGUGUGUGAAAACUUUGGGCUUAACCCAAAGAUUGCACUCGAUACUGCUCAACUUGAGUUCGGUAGGGGAGUGGGGAAUUCCUUGUGUAGCGGUGAAAUGCGCAGAUAUAAGGAGGAACACCGGUGGCGAAGGCGCCACGCUGGGCCGAUACUGACGCUGAGGAGCGAAAGCGUGGGGAGCAAACAGGAUUAGAUACCCUGGUAGUCCACGCGGUAAACGGUGGUCACUAGGUGUGGGUCUCUUCAAACGAGAUCUGCGCCGUCGCUAACGCAUUAAGUGACCCGCCUGGGGAGUACGAUCGCAAGAUUAAAACUCAAAGGAAUUGACGGA
rnacentral:rRNA from 1 species